rnacentral:rRNA from 1 species
UACGGAGGGGGCAAGCGUUGUUCGGAAUCAUUGGGCGUAAAGGGCGCGUAGGCGGCCGUCCAAGUCGGGUGUGAAAUCCCUCGGCUCAACCGAGGAACUGCACUCGAUACUGGUUGGCUAGAGUCCGGGAGGGGAUGGUGGAAUUCCCAGUGUAGCGGUGAAAUGCGUAGAUAUCAGGAGGAACACCGAUGGCGAAGGCAGGUCUCUGGGCAUUAACUGACGCUGAGGAGCGAAAGCAUGGGGAGCGAACAGG